rnacentral:sRNA from 1 species
UCCAUCCCAAUCUGCUGACAUAUACCGCUCGA